AACGAACGCUGGCGGCAUGCCUAACACAUGCAAGUCGAACGAGACCUUCGGGUCUAGUGGCGCACGGGUGCGUAACGCGUGGGAACCUGCCCUUAGGUUCGGAAUAACUCCCCGAAAGGGGUGCUAAUACCGGAUAAUGUCAUCGGACCAAAGAUUUAUCGCCUUUGGAUGGGCCCGCGUUGGAUUAGCUAGUUGGUAGGGUAAAAGCCUACCAAGGCGACGAUCCAUAGCUGGUCUGAGAGGAUGAUCAGCCACACUGGGACUGAGACACGGCCCAGACUCCUACGGAAGGCAGCAGUGGGGAAUAUUGGACAAUGGGCGAAAGCCUGAUCCAGCAAUGCCGCGUGAGUGAUGAAGGCCUUAGGGUUGUAAAGCUCUUUUACCCGAGAUGAUAAUGACAGUACCGGGAGAAUAAGCUCCGGCUAACUCCGUG
rnacentral:rRNA from 1 species